GUGUCCCUGCGGAGGGGGUGUUUUUAAGAAUUCGCAGCACUACUUCUAAGGAGCCAUUAGUCUCUCUCCUGCCCAGGGCUCCAGGACCCUCAACUUGUUCGAGGCAAGCGGGCUAUGAGAAAGGGAAGUCGCAGAAAUCUUCAAGCGGAAGGUUUAAUUCUGAGCCCUCCUGGGGCCACCCUCAGGCGUGCAAUCAUCUCUCUUCUCUCUGGAUGCUGGAGUUAAGGCUCUUCUCGUUCCUCAUCUGGGGUUUGGAAUAUGCUCAGAUUCUUAUCCACGGAAGGACCCUCCCCCAACGGGAUCCUGUGCCACCGCAUCGACGAAGGAGCCACCUGCCUACUCCAGAGGAUUAGUGAAUGCGUAUCUAACAGCCCUGUUGACAGACCUCCUUUGUGCUGAUAUAGAGGACAGCAACAGCCCCUUGCCGAGUCUCCCAGCAAUCCACAAUUCCCUGUGAGGAGCCGGAGGAAGUGACUAUUGUGACCCCACGGACCUGCUUAAGCUCUGGGGAACCCUCGGAAGUUGGAGCACCAGAGCUGCGAAAGUUCAGACCCUGUAGAGUCCCCGUGAGUCAGUUACUUCAGGGCGCAGAACUAGCAAGGAUGAAUAAGUAAUUCUGAGGAUGCCACCUCUGCUUCUGUGUGGGAGGGGGAGGGGGAAAGAGGGAGCUGGGUUAGCAGCGAGAGAGGGCCUGGGGCUCAGCUGCCUCUCUGGUACACCAGGAAUGACGGGCUGGGCCUCAGCUGCAUGACAUCACUGCUUGCAGGAGGCAUAGAACAGCCGGUGGGCAGCUGGCUGGGCAGGGAAUGCUUGUUUUCUUAAUAGCUCAUAUUGCCUAACCACAUCCACGGUAUAGUGUUGUGUUGGUGCUGGGGCCCCGCUGACGGAGGGUCUGAUCCAGUACAGAUCAGAGACCUGACUCCCAGGAGGUCUGCAGGUAGGAGCCAGGUAGAUAGGGCAUUUUGUGUUAGAUAUGGGGAUAUAUGGCUGUCUCUUGGUCUAGUCCCAUCCAGAAGCCAAGCAAGGGCCAUCUGCCUCUUGAAUGGCCAGGUGGGAGUGACAGAAGGAAGGGACACUCAGUCUGGUUUUCCUCAGAGUAGCAACAUGUCACUCAUAAGACAUGGAAUACAUAUUUUCUCACCUCUCACUUUAGCAGGAGAAAUGCAGAAAUUGAAAGCUCUUAGGGCAGGAACUCUACAGAUCUCUUCCCUGUUGGCAAAUGCACACCUGUUCAGCAUCAUAAUCCGUGGCUUUUAGGGUAGGGGUGGGGUGGGCAGCAUUGUACACCAGGCUACCCAAGCCCCAAAACGCACAUUCCAACCUCCAGGCCAAGGCUCUCUCUACCACUGACUUCAGACUGAAGUCAGCAUCCCCUUUCUGCAUGGCUGUCUGAUCAUGCCUGAACCUGUCUCCUGCCCACUGGCUGUGCCUCUCCUCACAGUUUGGUCUGCUACCACAGCAAGUGCCUCCCUACAGACAAGCAGGGUCCCAUCACUCCCCUGCUUACAUUCCACUGUGGUCUGGAAGCUGGCGUCCCACAGACUCAGCUCUCACUGUGAUACUAAGUGGUGGAGGGUUUAGGAGAUGAUUCGGUUAGGAGGGCUCUGUCCUCAUGCAUGGGACAAGGGCUGUGCUAGGCAGUUUUGUGUCAACUUGACCCAGACUGGACUUAUCUGAAAAAAAGGGAGCGUCUGUUGAAAAAAAUACACCCAAGCCUGGUGGUGGUGGUGCACGCCUUUAAUCCCCACACUCAAGAGGCAGAGGCAGGUGGAUCUC